AGUGAACGCUGGCGGUAGGCCUAACACAUGCAAGUCGAACGGCAGCACAGUAAGAGCUUGCUCUUACGGGUGGCGAGUGGCGGACGGGUGAGGAAUACAUCGGAAUCUACUUUUUCGUGGGGGAUAACGUAGGGAAACUUACGCUAAUACCGCAUACGACCUACGGGUGAAAGCAGGGGAUCUUCGGACCUUGCGCGAUUGAAUGAGCCGAUGUCGGAUUAGCUAGUUGGCGGGGUAAAGGCCCACCAAGGCGACGAUCCGUAGCUGGUCUGAGAGGAUGAUCAGCCACACUGGAAAUGAGACACGGUCCAGACUCCUACGGGAGGCAGCAGUGGGGAAUAUUGGACAAUGGGCGCAAGACUGAUCCAGCCAUACCGCGUGGGUGAAGAAGGCCUUCGGGUUGUAAAGCCCUUUUGUUGGGAAAGAAAAGCAGCAGGUUAAUACCCCGCUGUUCUGACGGUACCCAAAGAAUAAGCACCGGCUAACUUCGUG
rnacentral:rRNA from 1 species